UGGGGAAUAUUGGACAAUGGGGGGAACCCUGAUCCAGCAAUGCCGCGUGUGUGAAGAAGGCCUGAGGGUUGUAAAGCACUUUCAGUGGGGAGGAGGGUUGACGGGUUAAGAGCUGGUUGACUGGACGUUACCCACAGAAGAAGCACCGGCUAACUCCGUGCCAGCAGCCGCGGUAAUACGGGGGGUGCAAGCGUUAAUCGGAAUUACUGGGCGUAAAGGGUGCGUAGGUGGUUUGAUAAGUUAUCUGUGAAAGCCCUGGGCUCAACCUGGGAAGGCCAGAUAAGACUGCUGGACUCGAGUACGGGAGAGGGUAGUGGAAUUUCCGGUGUAGCGGUGAAAUGCGUAGAUAUCGGAAGGAACAUCGGUGGCGAAGGCGUCUACCUGGCCUAAUACUGACACUGAGGCACGAAAGCGUGGGGAGCAAACAGGAUUAGAUACCCACGUAGUCCCUGAGCGGGCUGGCAAGGCGCAU
rnacentral:rRNA from 1 species